GUCUGAUGUAAGUAUUGCUACCCCAGUUUUCUUUUGAUUUCCAUUUUUGUACAAAGAAUACCUUCUUCCAUGCCCUCACUUUGUCUGUAUGUGUCUUUAGAUUUAAAGUGAGUCUCUUGUAGGCAGCAUAUAUACGGGUCUUGUUUUUGUAUCCAUUCAGGCAGUCUGUGUCUUCUGGUUGAGCAUUUAGUCUGUUUACAUUUAAGGUAAGUAUUGCUAUGUAUAUUCUUGUUGCCAUUUUGUUAAUUGUUUUGGAUUUGUUUUUGUAGGUCUUUUUCUUCCCCUUUCUUCUUUUGUUCUCUUUUAUGCUUUGAUGACUAUUUUUGGUGUUAUUUUGGAUUCUUUUUUCCUUUUUGUGUGUUUAUCUAUUAUAGAUUCUUGGUUUGUGGUUACCACGAAGUUUUUGUAUAGCAGUCUGUAUACAUACCUGAUUGUUUUAUGUUGCUGUUCUCUUAAUUUCAAAUGCAUUUUAAAUACCCUGCAUUUGUACUCUCCUCCCCUCACUAUUACUGUUUUGAUAUAUUUUACAUCUAAUUGUUUUAGGUAUCCUUUAACUGCUUAUUGUGGAUACGGGUGAUAUUACUACUUUUAUCUUUCAGCCUCCCUACUAGCUUUGUGUGUGGAUGAUUUCCUACCUUUACUGUAUGUUUGCCUUUACUGGUAGACUUUUUCCUUCCAUAAUUCUUUUUUCUAGCUGUGGCCUUUUCUUUUUUGCCUAGAGAAGUUCCUUUAACAUUUGUUGUGAAGUUGGUUUGGUGGUGCUGAAUUCUUUUAGCUUUCACUUGUCUGUAGAGCUUGAUUUCUCCAUCAAAUCUAAAUAAGAGUCUUCCUGGGUAGAGUAUUCUUCGUUGUCAGUUUUUCCCUUUCAUCACUUUAAAUAUAUUGUGUCACUCCCUUCUGGCCUGCAGAGUUUCUGCUGAAAAAUCAGCUGAUAGGCUAUGGGAGUUCCCUUGUAUGUUAUUUGUUGCUUUUCCCUUGCUGCUCUUAGUAUUCUGUCUUUAAUUUUUGUCCUUUUGAUUAUAGUGUGUCUUGGUGUGCUCCUCUUUGGGUUAAUCCUUCAUGGGACUCUGUGCUUCCUGGACUUGGGUGACUGUUUCCUUUCCUAGGUUAGGAUGGCUUUCAGCUAUUCUGUCUUCAAAUAUUUUCUUGGGCCCUUUCUCUCUUUUCUCCUUCUGGCAACCCUAUAAUGCAAAUAUUAAUGUGCUUCAUGUUUUCCCAGAGGUGUCUUAAGCUGUCUUCAUUUCUUUUCAGUCUUUUUUCUGUUCAGCAGCAGUGAUUUCUACUAUGUUGUCUUCCAGUCACUGAUCCACUCUUCUGUAUCAUGUAGUCUAUUAUUAUUUUUUGAUGUUGGGGGUAGGAGUUUUAUUAAUUAAUUUAUUUACUGUUGCUGUGUUGGGUCCUCACUUCUGUGCGAGGGCCUUCUCUAGUGUGGCAAGCGGGGGCCACUCUUCAUCGUGGUGCGCAGGCCUCUCACUACCACGGCCUCUCUUGUUGCGGAGCACAGGCUCCAGACGCGCAGGCUCAGCAGCCGUGGCUCACGGGCCUAGUUGCUCCGUGGCAUGUGGGAUCCUCCCAGACCAGGGCUCGAACCUGUGUCUCCUGCAUUAGCAGGCAGAUUCUCAACCACUGCGCCACCAGGGAAGCCCCUCAUGUAGUCUAUUACUGAUUCCUUCUAGUGUAUUUUUCAUUUCAGUUAUUGUACUCUUCGUCUCUGUUUUGUUGUUCUUUAUAUUUUCUCAUUCUUUGUUAAAAAAUUCUAACUUCUUGCUCUGUGCAUCCAUUCUCCUCCUGAGUUCUUUGAUCAUCUAUGAUCAUUACUCUGAACUGUUUCUUGGGUAGAUUGCCUAUUCACUUAACUCUGCUUCUGGAGUUUUAUCUUGUUUCUUGGUCUGGAACAUAGUCCUCUGCCACCUCAUUUUAUCUAUUGCUAUUUAUAUUUUUAUGUACGUGGUAAGUUAGUUACGUUUCUCAUCCUUGAAGUGGCCCUCUGUAGAUGUCCUAUGCGUCCCAGCAGUGCACUCCACCCGUCACCCAAGCUGUAUGCUCUAGAGGUUCCCCCUAAGAGGGUUGCAUGGAUCUUUCUGUUUUGGCUGGCUAUGUGGGUGGUAUGGUAGGCUUGGUUGGUUCCUAGUCUGGUUGUUUGCACAGCCCUGCCUUGCGUGGAUGCUGCUGGCUGCUCUUUAGAGGGGCCUGGUCAUGAGGUGGCUGGUUGUGGAACCCUAAUGGGCCCUGAGGCUAGUGCUGGCACAUUGGUGGGCAGAAUCAGGGUCCCAAAGACUUUGGGGCUGUUGCCUGCCCACUGAGAGAUGAAGCCAGACCCUGGGAGUAGUACCAGACUACUAGCAGUUAGAGGUGUUUCCUGGAGUUUGACUGCAGGGCCCAGGGAUCUCAGAGCUCAUUUCAGAUUGUUGGUGUUGUCAGGGGCCAUUCCUGACAGUUGGUCAUGGGUCCAGAGUGUCUGGAAGGUUGUAUUAGCCUGCUAGUGGGCAGAGCAGGGGGCCGAGUCCGGGUGGGGAUGUGUCCUCACCCAGUUAGUUGUUUGGCCUGUGGCAUCCCAACAUUGGAGCCUUCAGGCUGUUGGAUGGGGCCAGAUCUUGGUGCUAAUGAUCCAACAUGUCAGCCACCUGGAAUGUUCACACAAUUGAAUGUUCCUCAAUGUCUGACACCAGUGUCUGUGUCCCCCUGGGUGAGCUGCUGCCAUCCCCCUGCCUCUCCAGGACAGUCUACAAGACCAGCAGGCAGGUCUGGCCCAGGCUCCUAUCAAAUUACUGAUUUUGCCCUGGGUCCUGGUGUGUGUGAGAUUUUGUGUGUGCCCUUUGAAAAGUGAAGUCUCUGUUUCCCCCAGUCCUGUGGGGCUCCUGCAGUGAAGGCCUCUUGGCCUUCAAAGCCAAAUGCUCUGAGGAUUUGUCUUCCCGUGCCAGACCUCCAGGCUGGGGAACCUGAUGUGGGGCUCAGAACUGUCACUCCUCUGGGAGAUCCUCUACAGUAUAAUUAUUCUCCAGUUUGUGGGUCACCCACUUGUGGGGUAUGGGAUUUGAUUAUAUUUCAAGUCUUCCCCUCCUGUCUUGUGGUACCUUAUUUAUAUCUUUAGUUGUAGAAGAUCUUUUCUGGUAGGUUCCAGGCUUCUUCACAGAUGGUGGUUCUGUAGAUAGUUGUUACUUUGGUGUGCUCACGAGAGGAGGUGAGCUCAGGGUCUUUUACUCUGCCGUCUUCCACACCUACUCUGUACUUUUAUUGAAUUUAUUCCUAAGUAUUUUAUUGUUGAUCCUAUGAGAAUAUAAUUGUUUUCUUUUUUUUAAUUGGAGUACAAUUGCUUUACAAUGUUGUUUCUGCUGUACAAUGAAGUGAAUCAGCUAUACGUAUACAUAUAUCCCCUCCCUCUUGGACCUCCCUCCCACCCUACCCCCAUCCCACCUGACUAGGUCAUCACAGAGCACCAGGCUGAGCUUCCUGUGCUUUAUAGAAUAUGUGUUUUCUUUAUAUUUGGUUUGUUCAUUGCUACAGUAUAUUCAAUUGAUUUUUGUAUAUUGAUCUUAUAUCUUGCUAAACUCAUAUUAGUUUUAAUAGGUUUUUUAGUGGAUUCCUUAAGGUUUUUGUAUACACAAGAUUGUAUCAUCUGCAAGUAAAGUUUUACUUCUUCCUUUCC
rnacentral:lncRNA from 1 species